rnacentral:rRNA from 1 species
ACUGGGGCGGUCUCCUCCUAAAGAGUAACGGAGGAGCACGAAGGUUGGCUAAUCCUGGUCGGACAUCAGGAGGUUAGUGCAAUGGCAUAAGCCAGCUUGACUGCGAGCGUGACGGCGCGAGCAGGUGCGAAAGCAGGUCAUAGUGAUCCGGUGGUUCUGAAUGGAAGGGCCAUCGCUCAACGGAUAAAAGGUACUCCGGGGAUAACAGGCUGAUACCGCCCAAGAGUUCAUAUCGACGGCGGUGUUUGGCACCUCGAUGUCGGCUCAUCACAUCCUGGGGCUGAAGUAGGUCCCAAGGGUAUGGCUGUUCGCCAUUUAAAGUGGUACGCGAGCUGGGUUUAGAACGUCGUGAGACAGUUCGGUCCCUAUCUGCCGUGGGCGCUGGAGAACUGAGGGGGGCUGCUCCUAGUACGAGAGGACCGGAGUGGACGCAUCACUGGUGUUCGGGUUGUCAUGCCAAUGGCACUGCCCGGUAGCUAAAUGCGGAAGAGAUAAGUGCUGAAAGCAUCUAAGCACGAAACUUGCCCCGAGAUGAGUUCUCCCUGACCCUUUAAGGGUCCUGAAGGAACGUUGAAGACGACGACGUUGAUAGGCCGGGUGUGUAAGCGCAGCGAUGCGUUGAGCUAACCGGUACUAAUGAACCGUGAGGCUUAACCUUACAACGC